rnacentral:sRNA from 1 species
UUUUUUUUUCCUUCUUCUG